rfam:Bacteroides vulgatus ATCC 8482, complete genome.
ACAAUGAAGAGUUUGAUCCUGGCUCAGGAUGAACGCUAGCUACAGGCUUAACACAUGCAAGUCGAGGGGCAGCAUGGUCUUAGCUUGCUAAGGCCGAUGGCGACCGGCGCACGGGUGAGUAACACGUAUCCAACCUGCCGUCUACUCUUGGACAGCCUUCUGAAAGGAAGAUUAAUACAAGAUGGCAUCAUGAGUCCGCAUGUUCACAUGAUUAAAGGUAUUCCGGUAGACGAUGGGGAUGCGUUCCAUUAGAUAGUAGGCGGGGUAACGGCCCACCUAGUCUUCGAUGGAUAGGGGUUCUGAGAGGAAGGUCCCCCACAUUGGAACUGAGACACGGUCCAAACUCCUACGGGAGGCAGCAGUGAGGAAUAUUGGUCAAUGGGCGAGAGCCUGAACCAGCCAAGUAGCGUGAAGGAUGACUGCCCUAUGGGUUGUAAACUUCUUUUAUAAAGGAAUAAAGUCGGGUAUGGAUACCCGUUUGCAUGUACUUUAUGAAUAAGGAUCGGCUAACUCCGUGCCAGCAGCCGCGGUAAUACGGAGGAUCCGAGCGUUAUCCGGAUUUAUUGGGUUUAAAGGGAGCGUAGAUGGAUGUUUAAGUCAGUUGUGAAAGUUUGCGGCUCAACCGUAAAAUUGCAGUUGAUACUGGAUAUCUUGAGUGCAGUUGAGGCAGGCGGAAUUCGUGGUGUAGCGGUGAAAUGCUUAGAUAUCACGAAGAACUCCGAUUGCGAAGGCAGCCUGCUAAGCUGCAACUGACAUUGAGGCUCGAAAGUGUGGGUAUCAAACAGGAUUAGAUACCCUGGUAGUCCACACGGUAAACGAUGAAUACUCGCUGUUUGCGAUAUACUGCAAGCGGCCAAGCGAAAGCGUUAAGUAUUCCACCUGGGGAGUACGCCGGCAACGGUGAAACUCAAAGGAAUUGACGGGGGCCCGCACAAGCGGAGGAACAUGUGGUUUAAUUCGAUGAUACGCGAGGAACCUUACCCGGGCUUAAAUUGCAGAUGAAUUACGGUGAAAGCCGUAAGCCGCAAGGCAUCUGUGAAGGUGCUGCAUGGUUGUCGUCAGCUCGUGCCGUGAGGUGUCGGCUUAAGUGCCAUAACGAGCGCAACCCUUGUUGUCAGUUACUAACAGGUUCCGCUGAGGACUCUGACAAGACUGCCAUCGUAAGAUGUGAGGAAGGUGGGGAUGACGUCAAAUCAGCACGGCCCUUACGUCCGGGGCUACACACGUGUUACAAUGGGGGGUACAGAGGGCCGCUACCACGCGAGUGGAUGCCAAUCCCCAAAACCUCUCUCAGUUCGGACUGGAGUCUGCAACCCGACUCCACGAAGCUGGAUUCGCUAGUAAUCGCGCAUCAGCCACGGCGCGGUGAAUACGUUCCCGGGCCUUGUACACACCGCCCGUCAAGCCAUGGGAGCCGGGGGUACCUGAAGUGCGUAACCGCGAGGAGCGCCCUAGGGUAAAACUGGUGACUGGGGCUAAGUCGUAACAAGGUAGCCGUACCGGAAGGUGCGGCUGGAACACCUCCUUU